UCCCAGACUCCUACGGGAGGCAGCAGUGGGGAAUAUUGCACAAUGGGGGAAACCCUGAUGCAGCGACGCCGCGUGAGUGAAGAAGUAUUUCGGUAUGUAAAGCUCUAUCAGCAGGGAAGAUAAUGACGGUACCUGACUAAGAAGCCCCGGCUAACUACGUGCCAGCAGCCGCGGUAAUACGUAGGGGGCAAGCGUUAUCCGGAUUUACUGGGUGUAAAGGGUGCGUAGGUGGCAUGGCAAGUCAGAAGUGAAAGCCUGGGGCUCAACCCCGCGGACUGCUUUUGAAACUGUCAGGCUGGAGUACAGGAGAGGUAAGCGGAAUUCCUAGUGUAGCGGUGAAAUGCGUAGAUAUUAGGAGGAACACCAGUGGCGAAGGCGGCUUACUGGACUGUAACUGACACUGAGGCACGAAAGCGUGGGGAGCAAACAGGAUUAGAUACCCCUGUA
rnacentral:rRNA from 1 species